UAGGGAAUCUUCCACAAUGGACGCAAGUCUGAUGGAGCAACGGCCGCGUGAGUGAAGAAGGUUUUCGGACCGUAAAGCUCUGUUGUUGGUGAAGAAGGAUAGAGGUAGUAACUGGCCUUUAUUUGACGGUAAUCAACCAGAAAGUCACGGCUAACUACGUGCCAGCAGCCGCGGUAAUACGUAGGUGGCAAGCGUUGUCCGGAUUUAUUGGGCGUAAAGCGAGCGCAGGCGGAAGAAUAAGUCUGAUGUGAAAGCCCUCGGCUUAACCGAGGAAUUGCAUCGGAAACUGUUUUCUUGAGUGCAGAAGAGGAGAGUAGAACUCCAUGUGUAGCGGUGGAAUGCGUAGAUAUAUGGAAGAAUACCAGUGGCGAAGGCGGCUCUCUGGUCUGCAACUGACGCUGAGGCUCGAAAGCAUGGGUAGCGAACAGGAUUAGAUACC
rnacentral:rRNA from 1 species